GAUCCUGGCUCAGGAUGAACGCUAGCUACAGGCUUAACACAUGCAAGUCGAGGGGCAGCAUGAACAUAGCUUGCUAUGUUUGAUGGCGACCGGCGCACGGGUGCGUAACACGUAUCCAAUCUACCCAUGGCUCGGGGAUAGCCUUUCGAAAGAAAGAUUAAUACCCGAUGGUCUCGGUUUAAGGCAUCUUAGACUGAGUAAAGAUUUAUCGGUGACGGAUGAGGAUGCGUACGAUUAGCUUGUUGGCGGGGUAACGGCCCACCAAGGCAACGAUCGUUAGGGGUUCUGAGAGGAAGGUCCCCCACACUGGAACUGAGACACGGUCCAGACUCCUACAGGAGGCAGCAGUGAGGAAUAUUGGUCAAUGGACGAGAGUCUGAACCAGCCAAGUCGCGUGAAGGAAGACUGCCCUAAGGGUUGUAAACUUCUUUUGUAUGGGAAUAAAAAAUGGGACGUGUCCCAUAUUGUAUGUACCAUACGAAUAAGGAUCGGCUAACUCCGUG
rnacentral:rRNA from 1 species